GGGUAGUUUGACUGGGGCGGUCUCCUCCUAAAGAGUAACGGAGGAGCACGAAGGUUGGCUAAUCCUGGUCGGACAUCAGGAGGUUAGUGCAAUGGCAUAAGCCAGCUUGACUGCGAGCGUGACGGCGCGAGCAGGUGCGAAAGCAGGUCAUAGUGAUCCGGUGGUUCUGAAUGGAAGGGCCAUCGCUCAACGGAUAAAAGGUACUCCGGGGAUAACAGGCUGAUACCGCCCAAGAGUUCAUAUCGACGGCGGUGUUUGGCACCUCGAUGUCGGCUCAUCACAUCCUGGGGCUGAAGUAGGUCCCAAGGGUAUGGCUGUUCGCCAUUUAAAGUGGUACGCGAGCUGGGUUUAGAACGUCGUGAGACAGUUCGGUCCCUAUCUGCCGUGGGCGCUGGAGAACUGAGGGGGGCUGCUCCUAGUACGAGAGGACCGGAGUGGACGCAUCACUGGUGUUCGGGUUGUCAUGCCAAUGGCACUGCCCGGUAGCUAAAUGCGGAAGAGAUAAGUGCUGAAAGCAUCUAAGCACGAAACUUGCCCCGAGAUGAGUUCUCCCUGAGACUUUAAGUCUCCUGAAGGAACGUUGAAGACGACGACGUUGAUAGGCCGGGUGUGUAAGCGCAGCGAUGCGU
rnacentral:rRNA from 1 species